UGAGCCCCAUCGACUUUUCCGGCCUCGGCUGGGCGCUGUCCACCACUCGCAAUGCCUGAAACCUCACCCAGCUCCGGUGGCUGGGGCUUCUACCCGGCUGAGCCCGCCACUGCAGAUUACGGACUUCUGAAGUUUUGAAACGUCCCCCUUAGGGAGAAAGGGAUGGCGCUGCUUGCAUUUACCGACCUGCAAGGGUUCCAGGCAGAUGCAACAUGCACCUUGUUGCAAAGAGCAAUUCCCCAGGCCCCGCCUCCCCGUCCAUUUGGGUUGCACAAGCUCCAGAGAAGCCCCAGGCCAAAUUACCCGUGGCUCAGAGGGGUGCGGCGAGCCGAGGGGGCCUCUGCAAAGAAAGCCCCGGGGAGCUCGCGAACAAAAAUAAGAGCACGUCAAGCAGACGGGGGAAAUUGUCUCCGAGUCGCUACUCCCUACCAUCAUGGCGCCGCCUAGAACCCGCUUGUCAUGCCUGUUACACAUGCAAGAUUUUUUGCAUCUUGUUCUGAAAGCAAAAGCAUGCUUCGUCUCCCACCCACCUUUCCACGAAAGGGCAACCUCUAAUUAGGAGCUGUGUGUGCACGAAGGUGUCACAGCAAAGCGACGUGGAAUCCUCGCUAAACGGUCUUAACGAACUCCUCCGUCCCGAACCGACAGGCCAACGGAAGCAGCAGGGCCAGGAGGCCCUGCGGGCGCGCACCCCUUCCCCGCCGGCCACCCCCUCCCCAAGCAAAGCUGCCUGAGGGCUCACCAGGAACUGCCGAGCGGAGUGGAUGGGGCAAGAAGCGAGCCCGAGAGUGGAAAGGAGGGGCGAGGCUCCUUAUCGAGAAAGUGUGGAAGGGAAGAAAUAUCCCAUUUUGUUUUAAUUUUCAACCAUCACUCAAAUCCACCCCCAGUUAAUUAGGAGGGGAAACUGAUAUCUAAGGCAGAAGGGGGCGGCGGCAAGCGGGGCCUGAAAUCCGCAUUGGGGGUAGAUUACAUGGAACACGGCCUAUGCAGAGUGUAAAUAAAUACAUUGAUAAAGGCCACAGAGUGAAAGAAAACUGCCAGUGUCAGGAGAGCGAACGCUGGGAAGGGUGGGGGAGGAGGGGGGGCAGCAAGGGGCGGGCAUUCAGCCUCACAGCCAGUGUCCCCCUUCCACCUCUGCCUUGGAUACAGCUGUGCCAGUCACAUAAGCUGGGAAACCCCCACCCCCUUCCCUACCACACGCCCCCUCCCCUAACCCUCGUCCUCUUUUUGGGGGGAGAGGGGGCAGAAACCACAGUCUCCAAUUCAGCACCAAAUCCAUGAACAGCAGACACUUGAUCAUCCACCCCAGUCUAGGGCUGGGUCCCCUCCAUGUUUUAGCCAAGUUCAAAAUCACUGCCCCAGAAGGAGAGCAGGGCGAAGUGAGAUUAUGGAUGUGGGGUGGGGGGUGGAGGGAGGAGGAGAGAGAAAUAGAGACAGAAUGAAACAGAGACACAGAGACAGAAAUGCAGGCAUCAAUACACACGAAACACCCCACGAGCAAGAGUAAUGAUCAUAAUCAUGCCAAUAGUGUGAUGUUCUGAUCAAUAUGGCGGACACUGUCAUUCAUACAACUACAGGCGCUCCCCUUCCCUCCCCCCCAAAAAAAACACCCACCCGGGGAGUUGGGGUGGAGGACUCAGAACCAACGUUGGGCGUGGGGGAGGGGAGUCAAAUCCAGGUCUGUGUGUGUGUGUGUGUGUGUGUGUGUGUGUGUGUGUGUGUGCACGAAUUAAAAACUGGGCCCGGAGAGCAAUGUAGAGUGAGCAAGGUAACACAAAUGAUAAAAAAUUAUUCUUAAUAAAAGUACAAAUCCCAAUGCCACAGGGACUUACUUCA